GAUCGUAGCUCAGCUGGGAGAGCGCUGCGUUCGCAACGCAGAGGUCAUGGGUUCGAAUCCCACCGGUUCC
rnacentral:tRNA from 1 species